rnacentral:rRNA from 1 species
GAUGAACGCUGGCGGCGUGCCUAAUACAUGCAAGUCGAGCGAACGGACGAGAAGCUUGCUUCUCUGAUGUUAGCGGCGGACGGGUGAGUAACACGUGGAUAACCUACCUAUAAGACUGGGAUAACUUCGGGAAACCGUAGCUAAUACCGGAUAAUAUUUUGAACCGCAUGGUUCAAAAGUGAAAGACGGUCUUGCUGUCACUUAUCGAUGGAUCUGCGCUGCAUUAGCUAGUUGGUAAGGUAACGGCUUACCAAGGCAACGAUGCAUAGCCGACCUGAGAGGGUGAUCGGCCACACGGGAACUGAGACACGGUCCAGACUCCUACGGGAGGCAGCAGUAGGGAAUCUUCCGCAAUGGGCGAAAGCCUGACGGAGCAACGCCGCGUGAGUGAUGAAGGUCUUCGGAUCGUAAAACUCUGUUAUUAGGGAAGAACAUAUGUGUAAGUAACUGUGCACAUCUUGACGGUACCUAAUCAGAAAGCCACGGCUAACUACGUG